UACGGAGGGUGCGAGCGUUGUUCGGAAUCACUGGGCGUAAAGGGCGUGUAGGCGGUCCGCUAAGUCUGAUGUGAAAGCCCGGGGCUCACCCCCGGAAGUGCAUUGGGAACUGGCGGACUCGAGUCCCGGAGAGGAGAGUGGAAUUCCUGGUGUAGCGGUGAAAUGCGUAGAUAUCAGGAGGAACACCGGUGGCGAAGGCGGCUCUCUGGACGGUGACUGACGCUGAGACGCGAAAGCGUGGGGAGCAAACAGG
rnacentral:rRNA from 1 species